AGUGAACGCUGGCGGUAGGCCUAACACAUGCAAGUCGAACGGCAGCACAGUAAGAGCUUGCUCUUACGGGUGGCGAGUGGCGGACGGGUGAGGAAUACAUCGGAAUCUACUUUUUCGUGGGGGAUAACGUAGGGAAACUUACGCUAAUACCGCAUACGACCUACGGGUGAAAGCAGGGGAUCUUCGGACCUUGCGCGAUUGAAUGAGCCGAUGUCGGAUUAGCUAGUUGGCGGGGUAAAGGCCCACCAAGGCGACGAUCCGUAGCUGGUCUGAGAGGAUGAUCAGCCACACUGGAAGUGAGACACGGUCCAGACACCUACGGGAGGAAGCAGUGGGGAAUAUUGGACAAUGGGCGCAAGCCUGAUCCAGCCAUACCGCGGGGGUGAAGAAGGCCUUCGGGUUGUAAAGCCCUUUUGUUGGGAAAGAAAAGCAGCAGGUUAAUACCCCGCUGUUCUGACGGUACCCAAAGAAUAAGCACCGGCUAACUUCGU
rnacentral:rRNA from 1 species